GCCAUUAAUAUGUAUAGCUCGGGGGGAGAAGGGAGAGGGGGAUAUGAUAACACAGACUGAAAGCCAUUAAUAUGUAUAGCUCGGGGGGAGAAGGGGAUAUAAUAAAACAUAGACAGAAAGCCAUUAAUAUGUAUAGCUCGGGGGGAGAAGGGAGAGGGGGAUAUGAUAACACAGACUGAAAGCCAUUAAUAUGUAUAGCUCGGGGGGAGAUGGG